CAACUUCCGGUGCACAGUUUUGAAUCUUCGUUGGUCGCUAUACGAGACGUGGACCCAAAGCAAAAGUACAUCAUCUUCAAAGAGACAGAGAAAGGGACCAUGGAUGACGACAAUCACAGAUUAUUUCAAAGAGUUGCAGAGAAACUUGGCUGGUCAGAGAAGGGAGGGUUGGAAACAGUAGAACAACAGCUGAUUAAGAGCAUCAGUAAGACUCGGCGUCCGGCCAUAGGCGGUCAUGGCUCCAGGGGUGCUCAAGACCUUCCUCCCCCAGUCCGGCUACUUCUGCCAGACAGUGAGGAAGAGGAUGACGGAGGCUCAGGGAAAGAGAACCAGGUCUCAAAGGGCAACAGUUACAGGACCAAGGUGUUCAUGGAGUCCAGUGACGAUGAUUUCGACCAGUUUCUUGUGGAGCAGGCGACACCCAAAGCUGCUUCUCGGAAACAUUGCACUGCUGCUAAGAAAGUCAGUGAACCAGUCCUUGUAUUAAGCUCAGAAAGUGACGACAGCUUUGAAAACUUCCUGAGCCGUGUGAAAACUCCCAAGCCUAAGCCCAAGGAAGCAGAGCGUGGCAGGGAAGACUGCCUCAGAAACUUCAUUGUCGACAGCUUUUCCUCCGAUGAUGACUUUGUCGUCGAGAAGAAAAAACCAUCUACCUCCAAAGGUGCCUUUAACACCCCCAAGCUGUCCUCCUCCCAGCUCCCAGUCAGAAGACCCCUGUCCCAGUGUGACUCCCCAGUUUUCCUCAGUGACAGUGAAGAAGAAGAUGGUAUCGUGAUGAAGAGCACAUGGAGGACGCGCCAACCUGUGCACCAGCCGCCGCCGUCACAGAAGCUCAAAGUCCUGCAAAGUAACCAGAAGUCCUGCAAAGUAACCAACGUCUUCUUUCCCUCUCCCGCCCCUCCUCCUCUGCCCUCCCCUCUCCCAGCUCUCCUCCUCCCCCCUCUCCUCCUUCACCCCCUCCCCGGCAUCCGUUCCACAGCGGACCCACUCAGCCCCGUCGAAGCUGGAGGACUCAGCCAGCUCAGAGGAAGAGUUCCUCAGCUUACUGGACAGAAUUAAGAAGAACCACAAGACCGGCAACACCCCAACACCUAAACGUAACACAGUGCCCAAUCAGAAGCCCCCCCUGUCAGCUCCACGGCCCAAAGCCUCGAAAGAGGCGGGCCCUCGGCCGGUAGGGAGAACACCAUUGGCUCUGAAGACCCCGGUGCGGCCGCUCGUCACUAAACCCACAGUGUCCCAGACGGAAACCAGACUCCAGACCAGCAGCCUUUCCUCCUCCAGAGUGUCAGCAGUGUGUAUGACUCCAGGAUGUUUCCUCCAGUCUCUGUCUGGACCAGGCUCCAGCUACAGCCGCAACUUCAAACAGACCAAGGAGGAGCUCACCAGCAAACUGUACUGCCUGUACAACACCAGCGUGUUCGACAGCAAGCUGCCCAGUAACAUGUCAGUGAGCUGGAAUAAGAAGAUGAGGAAGACUGCUGGCUACUGCAUCACAGGGCAGGAGAGAGGAGGAGGGAACCGAUACGCCCGCAUCCAACUCUCUGAGAAGGUCUGUGACUCUGCAGACCGUCUGCGUGACACGUUGGUCCAUGAGAUGUGCCACGCUGCCACCUGGUUGAUCAACAGUGUGAGGGAUGGGCACGGCCCCUUCUGGAAGCUGUACGCCCGCAAGGCCACGCUGGCACACCCCGAGCUGCCCACGGUCACCCGCUGCCACAGCUACGACAUUAACUACAAGUACCAGUACCAGUGCAGCCGCUGCAAAAACACGCUCGGUCGCCACUCUAAGUCUCUGGAUACCCAGAGGUUUGUGUGUGCCCUCUGUACGGGUCAGCUGGUCCUGCUCACCCCCGCCAAGCCCCGGGCGCCCACGCCCUUCGCCAACUUCGUCAAGGAGAACUAUGGGAGCGUUCGCCAGGACCUGGUGGGUCAGAGCCACGGUGACGUGAUGAGGAAACUCAGUGUUGACUUCGCCACCAAGACCAAACUCAGCCAGAGCUGAGAGGGAGAAAGAGCGGGAUCAGCUCUCCCUGUAUUUCAAAAACUGUAUCCUUGGCUUGAAGAUUUCCACUGCUCUGAUUUUGAAGCAAUGGUGGGAUCCUUUUCUUUUAACCAUCCUAAUGUGUUAGAUUAGUGGGAUCCUUCUCUUUCAACCAUCCUAAUGUGUUAGAUUAGUGGGAUCCUUCUCUUUCAACCAUCCUAAUGUGUUAGAUUAGUGGGGGGAUCCUUCUCUUUUAACCAUCCUAAUGUGUUAGAUUAGUGGGAUCCUUCUCUUUCAACCAUCCUAAUGUGUUAGAUUAGUGGGAUCCUUCUCUUUCAACCAUCCUAAUGUGUUAGAUUAGUGGGAUCCUUCUCUUUUAACCAUCCUAAUGUGUUAGAUUAGUGGGAUCCUUCUCUUUCAACCAUCCUAAUGUGUUAGAUUAGUGGGAUCCUUCUCUUUCAACCAUCCUAAUGUGUUAGAUUAGUGGGAUUCUUCUCUUUCAACCAUCCUAAUGUGUUAGAUUAGUGGGAUUCUUCUCUUUUAACCAUCCUAAUGUGUAGUGGGAUCUUCAAGUUGAUAUGUCUGUCUUAAAUAGCUCUGUGUAUGUAUCAGGUUUUCAGAGGCAGCUAUAGUGAGUCUGUUGUCAUUCCUUACGUCUCUAACUGGAGUCUCACCAUUACAGUGAAAUGAGCCAAGAGACACACUGAACAGUGACUAAAGGCAACGUGAAUCAGUCAUAUAUUGUUGUCAAGCCUGCCUGUGACAUGGAUUCAUACCUUUCAAAUAUCAUUUUGUGACCAACUGUUUUGAAUUACUUGAAAUAUUAAUUGGUGAAAAUUGUUCUAUGAAAUUUCAUAUGGUUCAUAACAGGCAGAUGUGGCAGCUUCGCAUACAAUUUUAGGUUACAUUUUCAACGUUUGUCUUAAUAAUAUAUAUUUGUUGUUGUUGAUGUUUUGUUGAUGAAAACGUUAUUAUUUUUCAAUAAAGAUUUGAUGUUUUACA